rnacentral:rRNA from 1 species
GACGAACGCUGGCGGCGUGCUUAACACAUGCAAGUCGAACGGAAAGGCCCUGAUUUUGUGGGGUGCUCGAGUGGCGAACGGGUGAGUAACACGUGAGUAACCUGCCCUUGACUUUGGGAUAACUUCAGGAAACUGGGGCUAAUACCGGAUAGGAGCUCCUGCUGCAUGGUGGGGGUUGGAAAGUUUCGGCGGUUGGGGAUGGACUCGCGGCUUAUCAGCUUGUUGGUGGGGUAGUGGCUUACCAAGGCUUUGACGGGUAGUCGGCCUGAGAGGGUGACCGGCCACAUUAAUACUGAGAUACGUCCCAGACUCCUACUGGACACAGCAGUGAGGAAUAUUGCACAAUGGCCGGAAGCCUGAUGCAGCAACUCCACGUGCGGGAUGACGGCCUUCGGGUUGUAAACCGCUUUCGCCUGUGACGAAGCGUAAGUAACGGUAAUUGGUAAAGAAGCACCGGCUAACUACGUG